ensembl:snoRNA SNORD62 Small nucleolar RNA SNORD62
UCUCUAUGAUGUUCCAAUAGAUCCUUCUGAUCCUUCACUAUGUACUCAGAAUGGACCUGAGGAGAUUGUAUUACUGAGGGG